rnacentral:sRNA from 1 species
UGCCAAUAAAAGUUUAUUCUGUGUUUUGGGACUUACAUGGACUCCUGAUACCACAGAGCCCCUCUGACAUAACCCAUGGCUGUGCUGGCGAGGGCUCAGGGGCCUGCCUUGCAGGGGGAAUGGCAGGCGGGCCUGCACAGUGGCCCAGCUCAGGGGCAACAGCAUCUUCCUCUGCCCUGACCUUCCUCUCUGUUCUGUGGCAGCUUCCACUUCACCAUCGGAUGUUUGCCACUCAGACUGAGGGGGAGCUCAGAGUGACCCAAAUUCUCAAAGAAAAGUUUCCACGAGCUACAGCUAUAAAAGUCACUGACAUUUCAGGAGGUUGUGGGGCGAUGUAUGAAAUUAAAAUUGAAUCAGAAGAAUUUAAGGAGAAGAGAACUGUCCAGCAGCACCAGAUGGUUAAUCAGGCACUAAAAGAAGAAAUCAAAGAGAUGCAUGGAUUGCGGAUAUUUACCUCUGUCCCCAAACGCUGACCACGCCCUGGCUGCAUAGAUGCUGCUGCUUAAGACCUUGGAUGAACUUCACUGACAUCAUUCUUCCCUAAGCAGUCACCAAAAAAUUUAUAUAUUUUGCUCAUAUACAUUUCCAUAUUAUAAUUAUAGAAGAUGUAUAAUCUAUUUAGAUGUUAAUUAAAGGAAACAAACAACUGAAGCUUUUGAAGGGUC